AGAGUUUGAUCCUGGCUCAGAAUGAACGCUGGCGGCGUGCUUUAUACAUGCAAGUCGAACGAGAACGUCACUUCGGUGACUAGUACAGUGGCGAACGGGUGAGUAACACGUAAGAAUCUUCCCUUUAGUGAAGGAUACCUUCGGGAAACCGGAGUUAAUACUGCAUAAGUUUUUUAUAAGAGAUUAUAGAUAAGAAAGACGGCCUCUUGCUGUCGCUGAAGGAUGAGCUUGCGGCUGAUUAGCUUGUUGGUGGGGUAAAGGCCUACCAAGACUAUGAUGGUUAGCCGGCCUGAGAGGGUGAUCGGCCACAUUGGGACUGAGAUACGGCCCAGACUCCUACGGGAGGCAGCAGUGGGGAAUCUUGCACAAUGGGCGAAAGCCUGAUGCAGCAACGCCGCGUGAGGGAUGAAGGUUUUCGGAUCGUAAACUCCUGUUAAGAGGGAAGAAAAGCUAGCCAGUAAUAUGGGUUAGUGUUGACGGUACCUCUAGAGAAAGCCCCGGCUAACUUCGUGCCAGCAGCCGCGGUAAUACGAAGGGGGCAAGCGUUAUUCGGAAUUACUGGGCGUAAAGAGCGUGUAGGUGGUAUUUUAAGUCAGUUGUUAAAGCUCGCAGCCUAACUGUGAAACUGCGAUUGAAACUGGGCAGCUAGAGGACAAGAGAGAGAAGUGGAAUUCUCGGAGUAGCGGUAAUAUGCGUAGAUCUCGAGAGGAACACCGAUAGCGAAGGCAGCUUCUUGGCUUGUUCCUGACGCUCAAGCACGAAAGCGUGGGUAGCAAACAGGAUUAGAUACCCUGGUAGUCCACGCAGUAAACGGUGAACACUAGAUGUUGGUUGUGCUUGCAUGAUCUGUGUCGAAGCUAACGCGUUAAGUGAUCCGCCUGGGGAGUACGAUCGCAAGAUUAAAACUCAAAGGAAUUGACGGGGGUCCGCACAAGCGGUGGAACAUGUGGUUUAAUUCGACACUACGCGAGGAACCUUACCUAGGCUUGACAUGUAACUGCUAUCACCCGAAAAGGUGAGUUCCAAGUUUACUUGGACGGUUACACAGGUGCUGCAUGGCUGUCGUCAGCUCGUGUCGUGAGAUGUUGGGUUAAGUCCUUUAACGAGCGCAACCCUUAUCGUUAGUUGCCAUCAUUUAGUUGGGCACUCUAGCGAGACUGCCUGGGGGAACCAGGAGGAAGGUGGGGACGAGGUCAAGUCAUCAUGGCCCUUAUGCCUAGGGCAACACACGUGUUACAAUGGCGAGUACAAAGAGCAGCUAAGUCGCGAGACCAAGCAAAUCUCAUAAAGCUCGUCUAAGUUCGGAUUGAAGUCUGCAACUCGACUUCAUGAAGUUGAAAUCGCUAGUAAUCGCGUAUCAGAACGACGCGGUGAAUACGUUCUCGGACCUUGUACACACCGCCCGUCACACCACGAAAAUUGUCUACACCCGAAAUCAUCUUAGCUAACCUUUCGAGGAGGCGGGUGCUGACGGUAUGGAGAGUGAUUGGGGUGAAGUCGUAACAAGGUA
rnacentral:rRNA from 1 species